AGGCGGUAUAGCCAAGUGGUAAGGCAGAGGAUUGCAAAUUCUUUAUCCCCAGUUCAAAUCUGGGUACCGCCUA
rnacentral:tRNA from 1 species